rnacentral:rRNA from 1 species
UUCCGGUUGAUCCCGCCGGAGGUCACUGCUAUUGGGAUUCGACUAAGCCAUGCGAGUCGAGAGGGUUCGGCCCUCGGCUGACGGCUCAGUAACACGUGGAUAAUCUGCCCUUAGGUGGAGGAUACCCUCGGGAAACUGAGAAUAAUACUCCAUAGGUCUAGGAUGCUGGAAUGCAUCUAGACUGAAAACUCCUGUGCCUAAGGAUGAGUCUGCGGACUAUCAGGUUGUAGUCAGGGUAAAGACCUGACUAGCCUACGACGGAUACGGGUUGUGAGAGCAAUAACCCGGAGAUGAUAUCUGAGACACGAUAUCAGGCCCUACGGGGCGCAGCAGGCGCGAAAACUUCACACUGUGCGAAAGCACGAUGAGGGAAUCCCAAGUGCCAGCUCGUAAGAGUUGGCUGUUUUUCUGUCUAAAACACAGAGAGAGUAAGAGCUGGGUAAGACGGGUGCCAGCCGCCGCGGUAAUACCUGCAGCUCGAGUGGUGAUCGUUAUUAUUGGGCCUAAAACGUUCGUAGCCGGUUUAGUAAAUGCCUGGGUAAAUCGUGUAGCUUAACUAUACGAAUUCCGGGUAGACUGCUAAGCUUGAGACCGGGAGAGGCUAGAGGUACUCCUGGGGUAGAGGUGAAAUUCUGUAAUCCUGGGGGGACCACCAGUGGCGAAGGCGUCUAGCUAGAACGGGUCUGACGGUGAGGGACGAAGCCCUGGGGCGCAAACCGGAUUAGAUACCCGGGUAGUCCAGGGUGUAAACGCUGCUUGCUUGAUGUUAGUCGGGCUCCGAGCCCGAUUAGUGUCGGAGAGAAGUUGUUAAGCAAGCUGCCUGGGAAGUACGGUCGCAAGACUGAAACUUAAAGGAAUUGGCGGGGGGAGCACAGCAACGGGUGGAGCGUGCGGGUUUAAUUGGAUUCAACGCCGGGA